AGUGAACGCUGGCGGUAGGCCUAACACAUGCAAGUCGAACGGCAGCACAGUAAGAGCUUGCUCUUACGGGUGGCGAGUGGCGGACGGGUGAGGAAUACAUCGGAAUCUACUUUUUCGUGGGGGAUAACGUAGGGAAACUUACGCUAAUACCGCAUACGACCUACGGGUGAAAGCAGGGGAUCUUCGGACCUUGCGCGAUUGAAUGGGCCGAUGUCGGAUUAGCUAGUUGGCGGGGUAAAGGCCCACCAAGGCGACGAUCCGUAGCUGGUCUGAGAGGAUGAUCAGCCACACUGGAACUGAGACACGGUCCAGACUCCGACGGGAGGCAGCAGUGGGGAAUAUUGGACAAUGGGCGCAAGCCUGAUCCAGCCAUACCGCGUGGGUGAAGAAGGCCUUCGGGUUGUAAAGCCCUUUUGUUGGGAAAGAAAAGCAGCAGGUUAAUACCCCGCUGUUCUGACGGUACCCAAAGAAUAAGCACCGGCUAACUUCGUG
rnacentral:rRNA from 1 species